rnacentral:rRNA from 1 species
GAUGAACGCUGGCGGCGUGCCUAAUACAUGCAAGUCGAGCGAACGGACGAGAAGCUUGCUUCUCUGAGGUUAGCGGCGGACGGGUGAGUAACACGUGGAUAACCUACCUAUAAGACUGGGAUAACUUCGGGAAACCGGAGCUAAUACCGGAUAAUAUUUUGAACCGCAUGGUUCAAGAGUGAAAUACGCUCUUUCUGUCACUUAUAGAUGGAUCCGCGCUGCAUUAGCUGGUUGGUAAGGUAACGGCUUACCAAGGCAACGAUGCAUAGCCGACCUGAGAGCGAGAUCGCACACCCGGGAAGUGAGAAUCGGUCCCGACUCCUACGCGAAGCAGCAGUAGGGAAUCUUACGCAAUGGGCGAGAGGCUGACGGAGCAACGCCGCGUGAGUGGUGAACGUCUUCGGAUGGUAAAACUCUGUUAUUAGGGAAGAACAUAUGUGUAAGUAACUGUGAAGAUAUUGACGGUACCUAAUCAGAAAGCCACGGCUAACUACGUG